AUUAAACAUUAGGAUUUAUGGGGUUGGAGAUAUUACUGCUCUGAGAACAUUAUCUUCCUGAUGAAAGAUCUAAAUGCAAAUAGAAGGAAUGCCAAAAUACCCUGGAACAUAAUUAAGGAUACUGAGGUGUGAAGAAGCCCUAGGCAUAGGAAUGUGCAGUUUUCUUAACUUCCACUUUCACGGUGGGCUGGUUUUCUUUGUUCCACAUUUCUAUCCACUGUCCCAAUGUGCCAUCUUGUUUCUUUUUUUACUAGUUCUCAAGUGAAGAAAAAAAAAAAAAAAAAAAGUAAAUGCACUCCUAUAUGGAUUAUCAAAGAAAAGAUGUUUCUGACUUAAAACAUACCCUUGCUGUCUGUACUGGGAAACAGCCAUUCAGUGAUGUCUAAAAGAGCUUCCUUGGUGGCCUGGUUUUCUAGCACAUUUCUUAUCAUGAAUGUCAUCUCUCCACUUGGAAUGGACAGCAGCAAUGAUAGACAUGCAAUGAUCAGCAGCAAACAGAUUUUAACCUUAUUUAACUGGUGGAAGCUGCUUCUGCUGAAGAUGAUACUUCUAUUCUGAAUGAGAAGUAGUUGGUAGCUUGAGAACAACCUUCAAAGGAGACCAGCAUUCUGUGCUGCAACAAGAAGGGGAGAGCUAAAGAGGAGGAGCUUGGAAAAGGAUCAUAUGAACAAACCAGUGGGCAGCACCAAGGUUGGCAGUCCAGCUUGAGCACUGAUAUGGGUGUCAAGAAUUUAUACGUUUCCAUUGUUAACAUACUUCUGUGUAUCCAUCACUGGGUUUAGGUUAAAAAACUUGGAGUUGUAGCAUACUGCAUAUUCAGACCAUGUAUCCACCAUCCAUGCAGAAAACCUAAUACAAUGGAUGACUGUUAACUGUGAAAUAGCUAGAUUAAUUUUCUAAGUGAACAGUGAAAAGAUAUUGCUUAGUAUUAUAUAUAUCCUCCCUUUGCCACAUCUCAAGUUCCCUGAAAACCUCCACAUAUCUCUGGAAAUGACUGUAUUCUUCUGAAAUAUCAUCUAGCUUAAUCCUGCUUGUGGAAGAAACCACAUCCAUCCUGUGCAAAUGAGAAGGAAAAUUAAAUUGUGGGUGUAACACAGUAACACAAUGGAAAUCACAGCAACGAUAGCAGAGUAGCAAAGUCCUAGGCUGCUGCAAAGGGGGA
ensembl:lncRNA